rnacentral:rRNA from 1 species
ACAUGCAAGUCGAACGAACUCUGGUAUUGAUUGGUGCUUGCAUCAUGAUUUACAUUUGAGUGAGUGGCGAACUGGUGAGUAACACGUGGGAAACCUGCCCAGAAGCGGGGGAUAACACCUGGAAACAGAUGCUAAUACCGCAUAACAACUUGGACCGCAUGGUCCGAGUUUGAAAGAUGGCUUCGGCUAUCACUUUUGGAUGGUCCCGCGGCGUAUUAGCUAGAUGGUGGGGUAACGGCUCACCAUGGCAAUGAUACGUAGCCGACCUGAGAGGGUAAUCGGCCACAUUGGGACUGAGACACGGCCCAAACUCCUACGGGAGGCAGCAGUAGGGAAUCUUCCACAAUGGACGAAAGUCUGAUGGAGCAACGCCGCGUGAGUGAAGAAGGGUUUCGGCUCGUAAAACUCUGUUGUUAAAGAAGAACAUAUCUGAGAGUAACUGUUCAGGUAUUGACGGUAUUUAACCAGAAAGCCACGGCUAACUACGUGCCAGCAGCCGCGGUAAUACGUAGGUGGCAAGCGUUGUCCGGAUUUAUUGGGCGUAAAGCGAGCGCAGGCGGUUUUUUAAGUCUGAUGUGAAAGCCUUCGGCUCAACCGAAGAAGUGCAUCGGAAACUGGGAAACUUGAGUGCAGAAGAGGACAGUGGAACUCCAUGUGUAGCGGUGAAAUGCGUAGAUAUAUGGAAGAACACCAGUGGCGAAGGCGGCUGUCUGGUCUGUAACUGACGCUGAGGCUCGAAAGUAUGGGUAGCAAACAGGAUUAGAUACCCUGGUAGUCCAUACCGUAAACGAUGAAUGCUAAGUGUUGGAGGGUUUCCGCCCUUCAGUGCUGCAGCUAACGCAUUAAGCAUUCCGCCUGGGGAGUACGGCCGCAAGGCUGAAACUCAAAGGAAUUGACGGGGGCCCGCACAAGCGGUGGAGCAUGUGGUUUAAUUCGAAGCUACGCGAAGAACCUUACCAGGUCUUGACAUACUAUGCAAAUCUAAGAGAUUAGACGUUCCCUUCGGGGACAUGGAUACAGGUGGUGCAUGGUUGUCGUCAGCUCGUGUCGUGAGAUGUUGGGUUAAGUCCCGCAACGAGCGCAACCCUUAUUAUCAGUUGCCAGCAUUAAGUUGGGCACUCUGGUGAGACUGCCGGUGACAAACCGGAGGAAGGUGGGGAUGACGUCAAAUCAUCAUGCCCCUUAUGACCUGGGCUACACACGUGCUACAAUGGAUGGUACAACGAGUUGCGAACUCGCGAGAGUAAGCUAAUCUCUUAAAGCCAUUCUCAGUUCGGAUUGUAGGCUGCAACUCGCCUACAUGAAGUCGGAAUCGCUAGUAAUCGCGGAUCAGCAUGCCGCGGUGAAUACGUUCCCGGGCCUUGUACACACCGCCCGUCACACCAUGAGAGUUUGUAACACCCAAAGUCGGUGGGGUAACCUUUUAGGAACCAGCCGCCUAAGGUGGACA